GCUCGGAUGGUGGAAUCGGUAGACACGCUGGACUUAAAAUCCAGUGGGCAGCAAUGCCUGUGCGGGUUCAAGUCCCGCUCCGAGUACAA
rnacentral:tRNA from 8 species